AGUGCCUUGACCUUAUCCUCUUUUAAUGCCCCAUUUAUUACAUGAGAAAAUAUUUCUCAUGAAAUCAGUCAUGCACAAAUUAAGCCACACCCUCCUCUUCUCAUGCCCUUAGUGGAUAGGGAUAAAUUGGUUUCCAUUUGAAUUCAAAAUUUGAUUUGAAUUCAAAUGUGCAAUUACUCAUCUUUAUCCUUUCACAUGGAUAAGAUGUUUGUCCUUAUUUUAAAAGGAAGAGAAGAGUGGGGCGUGUGAAAAAAAAAAUUUUCGAGAGAAAAUCUGGCCGUGAGGAAUCCUUGUGUGCAAGGUGAAGGUCUAUAUCCUUUCGAGAGAAAAAGAAAGAAAAAGUGUGCGCAGGGUUUCAGUGAGUUCUUCA
rnacentral:lncRNA from 1 species